rnacentral:rRNA from 1 species
CCCAAGUAACAUGGAACACGAGGAAUUCUGUGUGAAUCUGCGAGGACCAUAUCUCGUAAGGCUAAAUACUCUUACUAACCGAUAGCGUAUAGUACCGUGAGGGAAAGGUGAAAAGAACCCCGGGAGGGGAGUGAAAUAGAACCUGAAACUAUGUGCUUACAAGCGGUCAGAGCCCGCAAGGGUGAUGGCGUGCCUUUUGGAGAAUGAUCCUGCGAGUUACGUUCAGUGGCAAGGUUAAGUUUAACGGAGCCGAAGGGAAACCGAGUCUGAACAGGGCGAUUUUAGUCGCUGGGCGUAGACGCGAAACCUGGUGAUCUAAGCCUGUCCAGGGUGAAGCUGUGGUAAGACACAGUGGAGGCCCGAACUCACCGCCGUUGAAAAGUUGGGAGAUGAGGUAGGUUUAGGGGUGAAAAGCCAAUCGAACUAGGAGAUAGCUCGUUCUCUCCGAAAUGCAUUUAGGUGCAGCCUUGAGUGUUUAAUUAUGGGGGUAGAGCACUGAAUGGACUAGGGGGCGCAUUGCUUACUGAAUCCAAUCAAACUCCGAAUACCAUAAUUCAAGAGCUCAGGAGUGAGACUAUGGGAAUUAACUUCCAUUGUCAAAAGGGAAACAACCCAGACCACCAGCUAAGGUCCCUAAUCAUAACUAAGUGGGAAAGGAGGUGGAGAUUCAUAAACAACCAGGAGGUUGGCUUAGAAGCAGCCAUUCAUUUAAAGAGUGCGUAAUAGCUCACUGGUCGAGAGUCUCUGCGCCGACAAUGUAACGGGGCUAAGUUAUGAACCGAAGCUGUGGAAUUGCGCAAGCAAUUGGUAGGAGAGCGUUCUGUAGGCCGUUGAAGGAGAAGCGUAAGCAACUCUGGAGGUAUCAGAAGUGAGAAUGCAGGAAUAAGUAGCGAGAAGGGAGGCGAGAAUCCUCCCCGCCGGAAGACCAAGGUUUUCAGGGUAAAGCUUGUCUUCCCUGAGUAAGCCGGGACCUAAGCCGAGGCUAUAGUGCGUAGGCGAAUGGAAAACAGAUUAAUAUUUCUGUGCCAGUCAUAUUUUGUGAUGGAGGGACGCAGAAGGGUAUGUACGCGGAAGAACGGUAGUUUCCGUAAAAGCAUGUAGAAUGACUUGAUAGGUAAAUCCGUCAAGUUAGAUUUGAGGUGUGAUAUAUAGUCGUAAGAUGAAUGUACAAAUCCCACGCUGCCGAGAAAAGCUUCUAACGUUAAGGUAUGACUGCCCGUACCCGAAACCGACACAGGUGGUCAGGAUGAGAAAUCUAAGGCGGACAGGCUAACUCUCGUUAAGGAACUCUGCAAAAUUGCCCCGUAACUUCGGGAGAAGGGGUGCCCCUGAGUGUGAGCAUACACGCGAUGUUAAGCGCUUGGGGGUCGCAGUGAAGAGGCUCAAGCAACUGUUUAACAAAAACACAGGUCUAUGCUAAGCUGUAAGGCGAUGUAUAUGGGCUGACACCUGCCCAGUGCCGGAAGGUUAAGAGGAGGAGUGAGAGCUCCGAAUUGAAGCCCCGGUGAACGGCGGCCGUAACUAUAACGGUCCUAAGGUAGCGAAAUUCCUUGUCGGGUAAGUUCCGACCUGCACGAAUGGUGU